AUUGAACGCUGGCGGCAUGCUUUACACAUGCAAGUCGAACGGGGUGGUGGGGCAACCUGCCAUUCAGUGGCGAACGGGUGAGUAAUGCAUCGGAACGUGUCCCGUAGUGGGGGAUAACGCCGGGAAACCGGCGCUAAUACCGCAUAUGCUCUGAGGAGGAAAGUGGGGGACCCGCAAGGGCCUCACGCUAUGGGAGCGGCCGAUGUCCGAUUAGCUAGUUGGCGGGGUAAAGGCCCACCAAGGCGACGAUCGGUAGCUGGUCUGAGAGGAUGAUCAGCCACACUGGGACUGAGACACGGCCCAGACUCCUACGGGUGGCUG
rnacentral:rRNA from 1 species